AGAGUUUGAUCAUGGCUCAGGAUGAACGCUAGCGGCAGGCUUAACACAUGCAAGUCGAGGGGCAGCAUUGGUACUUGUACCAGAUGGCGACCGGCGCACGGGUGCGUAACGCGUAUGCAACCUACCUUUUACUGGAGAAUAGCCUUUAGAAAUGAAGAUUAAUACUCCAUAAUAAUUAGAGCUCUCCUGAGUUUUAGUUUAAAGUUUCGGCGGUAAAAGAUGGGCAUGCGUUUUAUUAGUUAGUUGGUAAGGUAACGGCUUACCAAGACUACGAUAAAUAGGGGUCCUGAGAGGGAGAUCCCCCACACUGGUACUGAGACACGGACCAGACUCCUACGGGAGGCAGCAGUGAGGAAUAUUGGACAAUGGAGGCAACUCUGAUCCAGCCAUGCCGCGUGCAGGAAGACGGUCCUAUGGAUUGUAAACUGCUUUUAUACAGGAAGAGACCUUCUCACGUGUGAGAAGCUGACGGUACUGUAAGAAUAAGCACCGGCUAACUCCGUGCCAGCAGCCGCGGUAAUACGGAGGGUGCAAGCGUUAUCCGGAAUCAUUGGGUUUAAAGGGACCGUAGGCGGACUAUUAAGUCAGAGGUGAAAUCCCACAGCUCAACUGUGGAACUGCCUUUGAUACUGGUAGUCUUGAGUUAUAUGGAAGUAGAUAGAAUGUGUAGUGUAGCGGUGAAAUGCAUAGAUAUUACACAGAAUACCGAUUGCGAAGGCAGUCUACUACGUAUAUACUGACGCUAAGGGACGAAAGCGUGGGGAGCGAACAGGAUUAGAUACCCUGGUAGUCCACGCCGUAAACGAUGGAUACUAGUUGUUGGAUUAUUUCAGUGACUAAGCGAAAGUGAUAAGUAUCCCACCUGGGGAGUACGGUCGCAAGACUGAAACUCAAAGGAAUUGACGG
rnacentral:rRNA from 1 species